AUAAAUAACCGAUUGAGCAUUAGAAUCAAAGCUUUACCUAUGAAAAAGUAUCAAUGGUUAUGUUAUACAUGUCUGGGACAUAAGUAUAUCCCAGUACAUGUAUGCAAAGUUAUCGUUUAUGGAUACAUGAUAUUUCCAAUUUAAUACAUGUAAUAUUGCAUUAUUUUGGAUCGAAUAAAGGUCUUAGUAUGCUGCUUUCUUCCGCAUUAUCCCCGACCUUAAUAUAAAUCAGUGGCAUUAUUAAUGCUACAAACGGUAUCUAGGCAUAUCACGCGUUUUCAAAACAGCCAAUGAGUUUAAAGCGUUGGUUUUGUAUCACGUGAAUCCUAUCAACCAAUCAGAAAUAGCGCGGGCGAAAUAAAAAAAGAAAAACCGGGAUUGGAAAUGGAUAGUAAAUAAAAUUCAGAAUAUUGCAAAACAAGGACAGUUAAAUCUUCUAGAAAUGCAGCUGUGCCCUCUUUACAGCAAUUGUAGAUGAAGCAAAGUAUAGUAGCAGGUUAUAUAGAUAUACACACAUGCCGAAGAGGAUUGUAAUAUCUGGAGAUAACAUUUCCUACGUCACGAAAUAAACACCGUCACACUGGUCUACGUAACAUUCCUAUAGAUGAUUGAUAUAUUUAAGUGAUUUUAAGAACUGUGUUUGAAUGACGAAUUUUUGUGAAUACGGAUUUUUAGUUUUAAUGAUUAUUAUUAAAACUUUCUGUAAUAAUCAAUUUGUGCUUUGGACUCAUUUUCCUAAAAUAAUAUGUGAAUGUUAACACGAACAAAUGAUAUUAAUAUCUUUAAAAUAUUUUAUGGGUGUAAUACAAGUGGCUCAUAAAAAUCAUUGUUAAGAUAAAUAGAAUCGAACUUCAAGUUGGUAUAGUUUGUUCUACAUUUAAACAACAUGCAAUUCAUAAAGGUUACGGCUUGAAAAUAUCGAAACAUGUACAUGUAUAACUCGAUCUCUAAAGAAAAUAUCGCAGUGCGGAUUUUCUCCACUGUGAUACGUAUUUCAUGAUUCUGUAUCGCAUCAUACCGGUAUAUCGCCGUUCCGUUGCAACGCUACAUUAAUUUGUCCCUCAGGAAUAAGGCUUGCAACAAUAUAUGACUGUUGUAGCGAAGACAUGUUUAUUUUGUUUAAUAUAUGUAUACAUAUUGAAUAUAUGUUUAUGAAGUAAUAAAUAUUUAAGAGUGACUCGA